ACACAGUGACGUCAGUUCCAAAGCGCUAUUGUGUCAGACUCAUCUCCCGCUGAAGAGGAUCCAGCGACAUCAAGAGAUUACGGAAAAUCACGCGAGAUAACUGGCUUGCACCUUGUUGGGUUUUUUCAAGGGCAGAGGGGAGAUUCCUGGCGUGCAUCUACUUAAUUUGAAGAAGAACAUCACCUGAUCACCUGUCUGUAAUCCACCUGCGAAGACACUGCUGAGGUCAGACGAGAGUGCAUCCUCAAAGGUCUGUG